AAUAUGUGCUCAUGCAUAGCACCUAUCUUAAAUAUCAUUGUCCACCCACUCAUCAAGUAUAGCUCGUUGAAUAUGGGUUGGACAAGUCGUUAACAAUAGAAUAAUCUAGUAGAAAAUAUUGCUUAAUUUUCUAAAUAGAGAACAAUUCUUAAGUUUGUGAGCCAGUCUAAGUAAUCAGUUUCGGUUAAUCGGUUAAUAUCUAAGAUUCAAGC
rnacentral:lncRNA from 1 species